GUCCCUCCCCACCCCACCCCACCCCUUCCUAAAAAAAUAAUCGGCAGAUCGUGUGGGAAAGUCAGAUCCAACGCUUUCCUCCCAAACUGUCGGCAGAUGGAAUUGGGUUGAUGCAGGCGGAGAGGGAACAAUGCAGGACAUCAGUCCUCAGUAUCAUCGUGUGGUAGGAGACUUGGAGAUCGCGCUGCUGCUGCGGGGAGUGAAGAGCGUCAGAAUGGCAUCUUUUCCCAAAGCCCCUCCGUAAACACGACGUCAGGGAACUGGAGGAAUCAAACUUCAUGUUAAGGGAAGCGUUUGAGCUUCGUCUCACCUCCCGGGAAGCGACAGCACCAUAUUCGGUAUACCAGGGGUUCAGAGGGGUGGGGAUAUUGGGGGUUGGGGUAAGGGGCUGGAGGGCUGCUCAAAUGGAGAGCGGGCCAGCCACUGGAGCAAUAAGAGCUUUAACGCAGCCGUUGCAUUUCAGCACUUGGAUAGCUCCCGGAGCUUCCAAUUCCGACAGCACGCAUGUCCACAAGCCCCUUUAAAGAGACGUGACCGGCUUGUAAAGGAGCUCGAAGUGAUUAUAUGGAGAAGGCAAAUACACGUCCACGCCGAUCAAGAAUCAGUAAAGUGAUAUAGAUCGAAAUCCCUUGCCUCAUUCGCCUUCUGCUGUCUGUUAAUGACUGUGGAUAACUGUGCAUGCGAUGUGCCUCCAAUUCAAAUGCAUCAAAACCAUUUUGUGAAACUCGGAGCUCGUUCCUGACUGUAAAAAAGAAUGCAACGUGGAUGAAUUCCUCUGUCGGCAAGUAUCGGAAAUAAUACAGUUUUAUAGUACUGCAGUAGUACAGCAGAGACGGUGGAUGGGGGUUCAACCCAACAUUUACGAGAAAUUUGGAUAGAUACAUGGAUGGGAGAGGUAUGGAGGGCUAUGGUCCAGGUGCGGGUCAAUAGGACCAAGCAGAAUAACAAUUCGGCAUGGAUG